CCUACGGGUGGCAGCAGUGAGGAAUAUUGGUCAAUGGACGAGAGUCUGAACCAGCCAAGUAGCGUGAAGGAUGACUGCCCUAUGGGUUGUAAACUUCUUUUAUAUGGGAAUAAAACGUUCCACGUGUGGGAUUUUGUAUGUACCAUAUGAAUAAGGAUCGGCUAACUCCGUGCCAGCAGCCGCGGUAAUACGGAGGAUCCGAGCGUUAUCCGGAUUUAUUGGGUUUAAAGGGAGCGUAGGUGGAUUGUUAAGUCAGUUGUGAAAGUUUGCGGCUCAACCGUAAAAUUGCAAUUGAAACUGGCAGUCUUGAGUACAGUAGAGGUGGGCGGAAUUCGUGGUGUAGCGGUGAAAUGCUUAGAUAUCACGAAGAACUCCGAUUGCGAAGGCAGUUCACUGGACUGCAACUGACACUGAGGCUCGAAAGUGUGGGUAUCAAACAGGAUUAGAUACCCUAGUAGUC
rnacentral:rRNA from 1 species